ensembl:lncRNA
CUUUCAAAGUAGUAUUUAUUUACUUAUUUAUUUAAACUAUGGAAGUCAUUGAUUACAUUGGAAGUUAUGUUACCAACAUUCUUCAAAAUGUCUUCUUUGUGCUCAACAGAAGAAAAAUUCCCACAAGUUUGGAACAACUUGAGGGUGAAUAAACGAUGACAGAAUUUUUAUUUUUGGGGUAAAAAAAAAAAACCAAUAUGGCAACCCUUUUGAAAAAGAAGUGCACUUUUUUAAUUGUAUUGAAUGUGCAUGUGUACUGCACUGUACAUCCAUACCAUUUCUUCAUUACCUUUAAACUACAUUUUGCUACCUGUGUGCCACCAACCCCUAUACCGGUUAAUUUUAGACGAAACCUACGCUCCCUUUCCCCCUCCCAUCUUUCCUCUGUAGUAUCCUCCUCUUUUCCCUCACAUACCCAUUUCUCAUAUUUGCAUGUGAAUGCAGCAACUGACACUUUAUGCUCUACUUUAACCUCUUAUCUAGAUGAUAUUUGUCCUCUCUCCUCCAGGCCAUCACGGGCUGCCCCUUCUAACCCCUGGUUAUCCGAUGUUCUCCGUGAGCAUCGGACCAAACUCAGGGCAGCAGAGCGAAUAUGCUGCAAAUCAAAAGAUCUGUCAGACCUGAGUAUGUAUCAGUCUUUGCUUUCAUCUUUCUCUGCUGAAGUCCAUACUGCCAAAUCUUCAUACUUCCACAACAAUAUUAACUGCACUCCAGACACACAUAAUCUCAAAACAUUUAAUUCUCUCCUCUGUCCCCCUCCACCGUCUGCUUUUAUAACAGCUGAUGAUUUCGACACAUUCUUCACAGACAAAACUAGAACAAUCAGUAGUCUAUUCUCAGCCCCACACACACAGGACCUCAAACCAACCACACCCACUGCUAAAACUCCCAUCUUCUCCUUCUGUCCCCUCACUGAGGCAGAAGUAUCAAGACUUCUCCUCUCCAGCCAUCCUACAACACGCCCUCUAGACCCAAUACCCUCACACCUUCUCCAAGCAAUCUCUCCUACACUCUUACCAGCACUCACACACAUCAUUAACACAUCUCUCCUCACCAGCACAUUCCUCACUGCAUUCAAACAGGCUCGGGUAACCCCACUGCUCAAAAAACUUACAUUAAACAAUUCACUUACAGAUAGCUACAGACCUGUCUCUUUCCUUCCAUUCAUAGUGAAAACCUUCGAAAGAGUUGUUUUCAACAAGGUAUCAUUGUUUCUUUCACAGAACAACAAACUGGACGCUAACCAGCCAGGUUUCAGGAGUGGCCAUUCAGCUGAGACUGCACUAA